UUACAGAUAGUAUUUCUAUGUUUUCCCUCUUGGUUUUAGAGAUAAUCAACUGUUAUUAAGCUGUUUUCGUAGUGAUUAGAACUUCCUUUAGAACUAAUGAAUCAAGUCAUAGCGAGAUAAGCUAAUCGAAACAGCACAAAUAUGAAUGAAAACAGGUUCUGCUCUCUUAACGUUUCAAUUUUUUUUUGAAGUUUGGAGGCUUAUGUCAAUCUAUAACAAUUGUUCUAAUCAUCUAAGUAUGCACUGUACAUUCAAUUGAGCCAAUGACACGUGUGCCAACGAAUUUCGAAGAGUUCGACUUGGUGUUCUCUCUUUGGUCUUUAACAUGAACGUGUGAGGCACCUGUUUGUUGAGUAAUUGAGUCCCUUCUCCAAGUUUUUAGUAGACAUUAGGUUGCUGUAAUUUGCCUUUAUGAGCACAUCUGUGACUAAAGAAAAUUUAAGCUGUCAAGUUCCCAAAAUGUCUAAGGAGAUAUCAUGUUUAACGAGUCACGAAUUGUGAUCAAUCCAAAUGCUUGUAUGAGCGCAACCAUGCCAUAUUUUGUUUUUGCAGAGGUUGUAAUAAUUUUCCUUUGACUGAUCUGUUAAUAAGUUUGUUUUUGUAGAUGCCAAAGAACUGCAUGGAAGAUUUCUAUGUGAAUGUCAAGUUUCGGGUUUUGGAGCAGAUUUUUGUGUCCCGAGCCAUAUCCAAAGUUGAUUUUGGACUUUCUUCGAUCUUAGAAUAUUUGGUUACUUUAGUGCAUUGACAAUUAAUAGACAUAAUUUUUUUUAUCAUUGUUUGUGUAUAAUUAUGCAACUUGUAUGUUAUAACGUGAUAAAGGUGAUUUUGCUUCCAAUACAUCAACAAAUAUUAAAAAGAAAUAUUUAAUGAGGGCUGGAACCCAGUCGAAGCUGGGGGGCUAGGCCCUCACGCCCAUAUUAUAUUAUUUAAAGAAAAAACAUACAACGAGGGAACAUAGUACUUAAAACCCCGACGAUCAAAAGUAAAAUUAUAUACAACCACUUCAAGCAAUCAACAUGGCCCUUACAUAUUGAAUCAAAAAGGUUGACAUUGCAUACAAGACUAGAUAAUUGAAAAGAAGGAAAUUAAAGAGAAAUUUAAAAAAAAAAAAAAAA